UGCAAGUCGAGCGGAGAUGAGGUGCUUGCACCUUAUCUUAGCGGCGGACGGGUGAGUAAUGCUUAGGAAUCUGCCUAUUAGUGGGGGACAACAUUCCGAAAGGAAUGCUAAUACCGCAUACGUCCUACGGGAGAAAGCAGGGGAUCUUCGGACCUUGCGCUAAUAGAUGAGCCUAAGUCGGAUUAGCUAGUUGGUGGGGUAAAGGCCUACCAAGGCGACGAUCUGUAGCGGGUCUGAGAGGAUGAUCCGCCACACUGGGACUGAGACACGGCCCAGACUCCUACGGGAGGCAGCAGUGGGGAAUAUUGGACAAUGGGGGGAACCCUGAUCCAGCCAUGCCGCGUGUGUGAAGAAGGCCUUAUGGUUGUAAAGCACUUUAAGCGAGGAGGAGGCUACUGAGACUAAUACUCUUGGAUAGUGGACGUUACUCGCAGAAUAAGCACCGGCUAACUCUGUGCCAGCAGCCGCGGUAAUACAGAGGGUGCGAGCGUUAAUCGGAUUUACUGGGCGUAAAGCGUGCGUAGGCGGCUUUUUAAGUCGGAUGUGAAAUCCCCGAGCUUAACUUGGGAAUUGCAUUCGAUACUGGGAAGCUAGAGUAUGGGAGAGGAUGGUAGAAUUCCAGGUGUAGCGGUGAAAUGCGUAGAGAUCUGGAGGAAUACCGAUGGCGAAGGCAGCCAUCUGGCCUAAUACUGACGCUGAGGUACGAAAGCAUGGGGAGCAAACAGGAUUAGAUACCCUGGUAGUCCAUGCCGUAAACGAUGUCUACUAGCCGUUGGGGCCUUUGAGGCUUUAGUGGCGCAGCUAACGCGAUAAGUAGACCGCCUGGGGAGUACGGUCGCAAGACUAAAACUCAAAUGAAUUGACGGGGGCCCGCACAAGCGGUGGAGCAUGUGGUUAAUUCGAUGCAACGCGAAGAACCUUACCUGGCCUUGACUACUAGAAACUUUC
rnacentral:rRNA from 1 species